CACCUUCAAAGAUUCUGCACGGAGUUGAAAACUGAACGAGUGUCCUCUUCCUAUGAGAGAUGCAGGUGAAUGCAAGAGUGGUGUAUUCCCUAC